rnacentral:misc_RNA from 1 species
GAUGAAGAACGCAGCGAAAUGCGAUAAGUAAUGUGAAUUGCAGAAUUCAGUGAAUCAUCGAAUCUUUGAACGCACAUUGCGCCCGCCAGUAUUCUGGCGGGCAUGCCUGUUCGAGCGUCAUUACAACCCUCAGGCCCCCGGGCCUGGCGUUGGGGAUCGGCGGAAGCCCCCUGUGGGCACACGCCGUCCCUCAAAUACAGUGGCGGUCCCGCCGCAGCUUCCAUUGCGUAGUAGCUAACACCUCGCAACUGGAGAGCGGCGCGGCCAUGCCGUAAAACACCCAACUCUUCUGAAGUUGACCUCGAAUCAGGUAGGAAUACCCGCUGAACUUAAGCAUAUCAAUAAGCGGAGGA